rnacentral:rRNA from 1 species
GUGGGGAAUAUUGGACAAUGGGCGAAAGCCUGAUCCAGCCAUGCCGCGUGUGUGAAGAAGGCCUUUUGGUUGUAAAGCACUUUAAGCGAGGAGGAGGCUACCGAGAUUAAUACUCUUGGAUAGUGGACGGUACUCGCAGAAUAAGCACCGGCUAACUCUGUGCCAGCAGCCGCGGUAAUUCAGAGGGUGCAAGCGUUAAUCGGAUUUACUGGGCGUAAAGCGCGCGUAGGUGGCUAAUUAAGUCAAAUGUGAAAUCCCCGAGCUUAACGUGGGAAUUGCAUUCGAUACGGGGUGGCUAGAGUAUGGGAGAGGAUGGUAGAAUUCCAGGUGUAGCGGUGAAAUGCGUAGAGAUCUGGAGGAAUACCGAUGGCGAAGGCAGCCAUCUGGCCUAAUACUGACACUGAGGUGCGAAAGCAUGGGGAGCAAACAGGAUUAGAUACCCCUGUAGUCC